UACGUAGGGGCCUAGCGUUGUCCGGAUUUAUUGGGCGUAAAGAGCUCGUAGGCGGUUUGGUAAGUCAGGUGUGAAAUCUCCACGCUCAACGUGGAGGGGCCACCCGAAACUGCCAUGACUUGAGUCCGGUAGGGGAGUGUGGAAUUCCCGGUGUAGCGGUGAAAUGCGCAGAUAUCGGGAGGAACACCCGUGGCGAAAGCGGCGCGCUGGACCACUACUGACGCUGAGGAACGAAAGCUAGGGGAGCAAACAGG
rnacentral:rRNA from 1 species